rnacentral:rRNA from 1 species
GACGAACGCUGGCGGCGUGCCUAAUACAUGCAAGUAGGACGCAGUUGCGAACGGGUGAGUAAAGCGUAGGUAACUGCCUAUUAGAGGGGGAUAACUAUUGGAAACGAUAGCUAAUACCGCAUAAUAGUAGAUGGACCUGCGUUGUAUUAGCUAGUAGGUAGGGUAAUAGCCUACCUAGGCAACGAUACAUAGCCGACCUGAUAUGGUGAUCUGCCACCCGGGUACUGAGACACGGCCCAGACUCCUACGGUAGGCAUCAGUAGGGAAUCUUCGGCAAUGGGGGGAACCCUGACCGAUCAACGCCGCGGGAGUGAAGAAGGUUUUCGGAUCGUAAAGCUCUGUGGUUAAGGAAGCGGUACUUAACCAGAAAGGGACGGCUAACUACGUGCCAGCAGCCGCGGUAAUUC